CCUACGGGGGGCAGCAGUGAGGAAUAUUGGUCAAUGGACGAGAGUCUGAACCAGCCAAGUAGCGUGAAGGAUGACUGCCCUAUGGGUUGUAAACUUCUUUUAUAUGGGAAUAAAAUGUUCCACGUGUGGGUUUUUGUAUGUACCAUAUGAAUAAGGAUCGGCUAACCUCGCGCCAUCAGCCGCGGGAAUACGGUGGAUCCGAGCGUUACCCGGAUUUAUUGGGUUUAAAGGGAGCGUAGGUGGGUUGUUAAGUCAGUUGUGAAAGUUUGCGGCUCAACCGUAAAAUUGCAGUUGAAACUGGCAGUCUUGAGUAGAGGAGAGGUGGGCGGAAUGCGUGGUGUAGCGGUGAAAUGCUUAGAUAUCACGAAGAACUCCGAUUGCGAAGGCAGCUCACUGGACUGCAACUGACGCUGAGGCUCGAAAGUGUGGGUAUCGAACAGGAUUAGAUACCCGAGUAGUC
rnacentral:rRNA from 1 species